UUCAAGGCGGACACACAGAGCUGUUUAUAGUUUCACUAUACUAAAAAAUACUCAGGAAACCACAGAAGACAGGAACAAAACAACAUAAACUACACGUAUAACACAAACAAGAACUAACCAAGAAUAGGGGCCUGUACCAUACAGCGGGUUUCGUUGGCUAGCCAGCUAAAAAGAAUCAGCAAUGCUGCCGCUUCCUAUCCUACCCAGAUGCUGCCAUGCCGCGCACCAGAUUUCACACAACAACAACACACCUGCAGCUGUGGCGAGUUCGAAAGAUCGUGGCGGUGAUGCCAAUAAACGGAAACGACAAAAUGAUUUAUGGACAUACUUUCAGUAUAAUCCAUCAGAAAGAAAAACGGAAUGCAUAUUGGGAGACGACGGUAAAUGUGGCCACAAACUAGGUGGGAAGAAUUCCACCAACCUCAAGCGGCACCUGAAGGCUCAUCACGCUGAUAUUUUUUUUAAAGACAGAAUGACUGAGCAAAACAUUGAUCCAACAGCACAAAUUCUGGACUGGUCUUAUGUUCUGAUGUGGUCUGAGCAAGCCACUCAAGUCAUGCAUGCCAGCCACAUUGAACUCUUCGUCAAACAGUGCAAUUGCAAGUCAUACAUCUGGGAUUGCAUGAAUUUUCAGAUGUGACUUUGGUAUGUGUGUUUUCCCAUGCAUCACUCUAACUGCAAGCAAAAGAAUCUACACGAAAUUUACCACAACCUUUACAUUUUUGGUUAAUAGUACAGUACCUCAUCCGGUAAACUUCACAGUAAGGAUCCAAAAAUAACAGUCUGACACAGCAACAAACCUUCACUUAGGACAGUGAAGUAUUACAAAAUGUACAGCUGAACUAAAUGCAUUACUUUGCUAAAUUGUAACUUCUAACCUAACCUCACGCCUUGCCCGCCCUCAACUAGUCAGGUGGACAUUAAAUAGCACAAAAUAGAGCACAGCCACCUACUCCAAGUCAAGGGCCAACCUGCCAUGCCCAAUUUUUUUUCUUAGAAAGCACCAUUGCAUUUAAUUAAAGGCCACUGAACACAUUUUAUAGUUUGAUAUCUCCCUUCAGCAGGUUUGACACAUAGCAGGAAGGGCAGUAACCAGCACUGACUGCCCCGCUCCACAGCUGCACCCAGUCCUGACCUGGGAGGCGAUGGAGAACCAUGUGUUUUUUGAAAAAGGGGAGAGUUUCCUGUCUGCUUUCUAGCACACAACAGAGCAACCAAUGGACUGUUUGAACUCACCCUUACACAAUGCAUUGUAUGUUCACUUUGUUUGUGUAAAGUGUACUUAUUUUCCUUAAAGUAAUUUGCUGCCGCAAAAAUAAUUAUAUUUAAAUGCAUUUAAAGCACGAUGCACUGAACCUAUUUAUAUGAUCAGUAUAGUCAUUCCAUUAGAGCUAAAUCUAUUACUUUGGCUUAGGAUACACCAUGAUAUACCAGUUAACUCAAACUUUACAUGGAGUAUAGUUCACCCUCAUAGAAUAAAGCUGACAAUUGAACUUGUUCAUUUAACCUAAAUGCUAAAAUCUCUUGUUUAAAAUUUAACAUUGGUGUGAAUAUAUUUGAUUCAUGUUUUAAUUGUGAAUAAUCAAAUGCACUGUGCUGUUUAAUUCCUGUGGUUACAAUUUUAGUUUUUUUUGGUAAUGUGACCAAUUCAUGGUUCAAGCCAAUGAAAUGAUCAUAAAUAAAACUGUCCUUGAA